UACGGAGGGUGCAAGCGUUAAUCGGAAUUACUGGGCGUAAAGCGCACGUAGGUGGUUUUCUAAGUCAGCUGUGAAAUCCCGGGCUCAACCUGGGACUUGCAGUUGAAACUGGGAAGCUAGAGUAGGGUAGAGGGGUGUGGAAUUCCAGGUGUAGCGGUGAAAUGCGUAGAUAUUGGGAGGAACACCGGUGGCGAAGGCGGCUGACCUGGACCGGUUCUGACGCUGAUGCGCGAAAGCGUGGGUAGCAAACAAGG
rnacentral:rRNA from 1 species